rnacentral:lncRNA from 1 species
GCCAUGCAGUAUGCUUCAUUGCAUACAACAUCCAAAGGCACAUAAAGUAGGCUUGUCUUAUUAAUAAUCCUAAAUUUGAUCUCUUAGAUAAGGUGGUGACAAGCUAUCUUUCCAUUGUAAGCAUUUCCUUCUGCAAUUAGCAAGUCAUUUGUGGUGUGAUAUUUUGGCAUUAGUAGUUGGUAGGAAUUUACCUGCAGUAAUCUGAUAAACACAGUUGGGAGCAGUCGUUUAGGUAUGGCUUUGGAAGUUAGGAAGAAGAAGAAGUGGAGACAAUUCUGGAGGAAAUACUAACCCAUCUACUUUAGGGAACUUGGAAUGCUUCUAUGUGUUGGCAUCAGAGCCUAGGGAGACUAGGAGAGAGGAGGCAGAAAGUAGAUGUCAGAAAGCUUUGCCUUCUUUGAAAGUUUGCUUAGGAC